CUGUGCAGUAAACUUACAUUCUGACCUCUCAGAUGUCAAACAGGCUGAUGAUACAGACUACGCUGAUGUUGAGACUCUGACUCGGAAGAUGACAGGAGAUACAUGGACCACCGUUACCUACUGUACAGUAGGACAGUAAUACCUUCAUCUGCUCAUGACUGCUGAAGAUCAGACUAAACUGAGUUUAAAAACUCUGGUGAUUAACUGGACUCAGAAACGGAGCUUCAAGUCUGAAUCUAACUAGCUGACUUAAUGACUCCUGUUGGAAAUUUACAGGCACUCUUCAGUCAGUUACUGCAGAAUGCUUUGGGAUGUAGCCCUGCACAUUGUGUUUUUAUGCAAUUUAAAUUUGCCUUUCUUGGCCAGGGUUUUUUUAAACAAGAAAAUUUAAAUGCAGUAUUUCCCCUGGAUAAAUACUUUAAAAUAAACUUGUUCUCUAAUGAGCUCUGUGA